rnacentral:rRNA from 1 species
GAACGCAGGCGGCGUGGCUAAGGCAUGCAAGUCGUACGGAACUACCUAAGUAGCAAUACGAGGGUAGUUCAGUGGCGGACGGGUGAGUAAUGCAUGGGUAACGUACCUUGAGCACAGGGAUAGCGUCGGGCCCGCAAGGGUCCUUUGCGAAAGUGACGGUAAUACCUGAUGACAUCUCGAGACCUCAUGAUCUUGAGAUCAAAGGGCGGGGAUCUUCGGACCUGCCGGCUCGGGAGCGGCCCAUGUCCUAUCAGCUUGUUGGUGGGGUAACGGCCUACCAAGGCUAUGACGGGUAGCCGGCGUGAGAGCGCGACCGGCCACAUCGGAACUGAGACACUGUCCGGACACCUACGGGUGGCUGCAGCAACGAAUAUUCCGCAAUGGGCGCAAGCCUGACGGAGUGACGCCGCGUGGAGGAUGAAGUCCUUCGGGAUGUAAACUCUAAUAGUCUGCCAGGAAGUGAGCCGGGCUAAUACCCCGGCGAGUUGACCGGCAGAUGAAAGGGACGGCUAACUCCGUGCCAGCAGCCGCGGUAAGACGGAGGUCCCUAGCGUUGUUCGGAAUCACUGGGCUUAGAGCGCGUGUAGGCGGGAUGGCAAGUACCUUGUGAAAUCCCCGGUCUCAACCCGGGAACUGCUCGGUAUACUGUCAUUCUUGAGGCAGGUAGGGGUCACUGGAACCUUAGGUGGAGCGGUGAAAUGCGUAGAUAUCUAAGGGAACGCCUGUGGCGAAAGCGGGUGACUGGGCCUGUCCUGACGCUGAGACGCGAAAG